rnacentral:lncRNA from 1 species
UUCAAAUAGUAUGCAUUUUUCCAGAAUGAAAAUUUCCUCUACAAUAAUAUUCAUCUUUUUUUUCCUGAUGGGCACAUAAAAGUCAACAUUUGUAACAUUGCUGGACAUUAUUUACAUUAAACAUGCAUCAGCUUCAGGUGUUGCAGAAACUGGGCAAGAGGCCACAAGGUACACAAUACACACACAAAACUUGUAUUAUUAUACUUACCUAAGUGUCUAAAGAGGUGGAUAAAUAUAUUAGAUUACUCUAGAGCAAUGAUUUUU